AUUUUUUAUGGAGAGUUUGAUCCUGGCUCAGAGUGAACGCUGGCGGCGUGCCUAAUACAUGCAAGUCGAACGAUGAAGCUUCUAGCUUGCUAGAAGUGGAUUAGUGGCGCACGGGUGAGUAACGCAUAGAUAACAUGCCCUUUAGUCUAGGAUAGCCACUGGAAACGGUGAUUAAUACUGGAUACUCCCUACGGGGGAAAGUUUUUCGCUAAAGGAUUGGUCUAUGUCCUAUCAGCUUGUUGGUGAGGUAAUGGCUCACCAAGGCUAUGACGGGUAUCCGGCCUGAGAGGGUGAACGGACACACUGGAACUGAGACACGGUCCAGACUCCUACGGGAGGCAGCAGUAGGGAAUAUUGCUCAAUGGGGGAAACCCUGAAGCAGCAACGCCGCGUGGAGGAUGAAGGUUUUAGGAUUGUAAACUCCUUUUGUUAGAGAAGAUUAUGACGGUAUCUAACGAAUAAGCACCGGCUAACUCCGUGCCAGCAGCCGCGGUAAUACGGAGGGUGCAAGCGUUACUCGGAAUCACUGGGCGUAAAGAGUGCGCAGGCGGGGUAGCAAGUCAGAUGUGAAAUCCUAUGGCUUAACCAUAGAACUGCAUUUGAAACUGUUACUCUAGAGUAUGGGAGAGGUAGGUGGAAUUCUUGGUGUAGGGGUAAAAUCCGUAGAGAUCAAGAGGAAUACUCAUUGCGAAGGCGACCUACUGGAACAUUACUGACGCUCAUGCACGAAAGCGUGGGGAGCAAACAGGAUUAGAUACCCUGGUAGUCCACGCCCUAAACGAUGAAUGCUAGUUGUUGCCCUGCUUGUCAGGGCAGUAAUGCAGCUAACGCAUUAAGCAUUCCGCCUGGGGAGUACGGUCGCAAGAUUAAAACUCAAAGGAAUAGACGGGGACCCGCACAAGCGGUGGAGCAUGUGGUUUAAUUCGAAGAUACGCGAAGAACCUUACCUAGGCUUGACAUUGAUAGAAUCUACUAGAGAUAGUGGAGUGCCCUUUUAGGGAGCUUGAAAACAGGUGCUGCACGGCUGUCGUCAGCUCGUGUCGUGAGAUGUUGGGUUAAGUCCCGCAACGAGCGCAACCCUCGUCCUUAGUUGCUAGCAGUUUGGCUGAGCACUCUAAGGAGACUGCCUUCGUAAGGAGGAGGAAGGUGAGGACGACGUCAAGUCAUCAUGGCCCUUACGCCUAGGGCUACACACGUGCUACAAUGGGAUGCACAAAGAGAUGCAAUAUCGCAAGGUGGAGCUAAUCUCAAAAACAUCUCUCAGUUCGGAUUGUAGUCUGCAACUCGACUACAUGAAGCUGGAAUCGCUAGUAAUCGUGAAUCAGCCAUGUCACGGUGAAUACGUUCCCGGGUCUUGUACUCACCGCCCGUCACACCAUGGGAGUUGUAUUCGCCUUAAGUCGGGAUACUAAAUUGGUUACCGCCCACGGCGGAUGCAGCGACUGGGGUGAAGUCGUAACAAGGUAACCGUAGGUGAACCUGCGGUUGGAUCACCUCCUUUCUA
rnacentral:rRNA from 3 species